AGGGAUUGAACCCAUGUCCUCUGCUUUGGAAGGUGGAUUGUUAACCACUGGACCACCAAUGAACUCCUGUACCAGAUGUUCCCUAAAGAUACUUCUGCUUCUGAUUUAUGAAGACUCAGCUACUUGUCUCUCAAGGCCUACAUACUACUGCCCCAAAUGGCAGUGAGCAGAGGCUUCUGAGAUCAUUUCAGGAGAGUGAAACAAACAAGAUAAUACAUCAACUACAAACAACCUCAAGAUUCAUGGGAAGUGGGGCUUGACAUGAACAGAGCUGAAGAGCCCAGGAUGACUAUUAAACAUAACUAAUGGCU